CCUACGGGAGGCAGCAGUGGGGAAUAUUGCGCAAUGGGCGAAAGCCUGACGCAGCGACGCCGCGUGAGGGAUGAAGGUCUUCGGAUCGUAAACCUCUGUCAGCAGGGAAGCACGGUCACUGUGCUAAUCAGCAGUGAAUUGACGGUACCUGCAAAGGAAGCACCGGCUAACUCCGUGCCAGCAGCCGCGGUAAUACGGAGGGUGCGAGCGUUAAUCGGAAUUACUGGGCGUAAAGCGCUCGUAGGCGGUAUGUCAAGUCAAGGGUGAAAUCCCCGCGCUCAACGUGGGAACUGCCUUUGAAACGGGCAAACUGGAGUGUGUGAGAGGAUAGUGGAAUUCCAGGUGUAGGAGUGAAAGCCGUAGAUAUCUGGAGGAACAUCAGUGGCGAAGGCGACUAUCUGGCACAUAACUGACGCUGAGGAGCGAAAGCGUGGGUAGCAAACAGGAUUAGAUACCCCUGUAGUC
rnacentral:rRNA from 1 species